GACGAACGCUGGCGGCGUGCUUAACACAUGCAAGUCGAACGAUGAUCCGGAGCUUGCUCCUGUGAUUAGUGGCGAACGGGUGAGUAACACGUGAGUAACCUGCCCCUGACUCUGGGAUAAGCGUUGGAAACGACGUCUAAUACUGGAUAUGAUCACUGGCCGCAUGGUCUGGUGGUGGAAAGAUUUUUUGGUUGGGGAUGGACUCGCGGCCUAUCAGCUUGUUGGUGAGGUAAUGGCUCACCAAGGCGACGACGGGUAGCCGGCCUGAGAGGGUGACCGGCCACACUGGGACUGAGACACGGCCCAGACUCCUACGGGAGGCAUCAGUGGGGAAUAUUGCACAAUGGGCGAAAGCCUGAUGCAGCAACGCCGCGUGAGGGAUGACGGCCUUCGGGUUGUAAACCUCUUUUAGUAGGGAAGAAGCGAAAGUGACGGUACCUGCAGAAAAAGCACCGGCUAACUACGUG
rnacentral:rRNA from 1 species